GCCCAGGUGGCGAAGUAGAAACGCGGCCGUCUGCAAAACGGCUACGCGCGGGUGCGACUCCCGCCCUGGGCUCCU
rnacentral:tRNA from 1 species